AGGUUCUUCUGUGAUAUGUUUUCAUGGUGUGGGAAUAAGACUUGGUGGUCUAAUACAGCUAAUACGAAGGUUAGCAUCACAGCUUGUCUGUAAAGAUUGAAGCUGGGAGUGGGCAUUGGAGCUGACUUUUAUGAUAACCGUGGCUGCAUAAAAUGGUUGUGUGAUAUAACUGCAACAGUAAAGAAUGUAAUUCAGACUAUUUUUGUGUAUGCUUGAGAAAAUGUUUAUAAUUUUUUUACAAAAAAAAAAAAAAAAAUAUGUAAAGAUUCUCCAUUUUCAACAAGAUUGGAAGUUGUAUGUUAACUUGUAUUUGACAUUACAAAAAUUCUUUCUAUUUUCCGUUUAUACUCAUGUCUAGUCAAAACACUUCCAGCAGUUUAAGAAUGGAUAAUCUAAAAGAAAAAGAAAGAAAAUAAAAUGUUCAAUUAUUGAAAUGUAUUUUUUUUUUGCAAAUUGUAAUGUAUAUAUUUUUGCCAUCUUUUUGUUACUUUAGGAUUUGAGAUACUUUCUAAUUUUACCAGUUACUUUAUACAUGUAGUUAAUGCAAUUAAAUCUGCCGAUGUGAAUAUUCCCACUAAAUUUCUUAGCAAAAAUUUUAAUUAUUUUUGUUUUUUUUAGCAACGUUUCAAAAUACCUUACCAUAGCAAAUGCCUCUCUAGUGUAAACUAAAAAGAUGAAUAAUGGUCUGCAGUAAAUAUAUCCCCUUACAACCUUUUCUUUCAUGUUAAUUUUAAUAUCUUUAAGAUAUGUGACAAGGGUGCUCUAAUGCAGAGGAAUUUACGAAGUUAAGAAGUUAGAAAUAUAUUUUUUGCACUUUUUUUGUCAUUUUUAGCUGAUUUUGGUUUGUAACCAAGGUGAUAUUUUUUAAAGAAUAAUUUUACAAAAGGCAUAGUUAAAGAACAUCUUGUUGAAAUUGGAUUGGUUGAUUUUUGGUGUUAAACACCACUUUAACAUGAUUUACUAUAAUUUUGGCUGUAAAUUUUUAUUUGUGGAGACAGCCAGAGUGCCUGGUGAAAACAUCACCUUCAUCAGGGAAACGGGCAAACCCGAGUCAAAUUAAGAAUGAAGUUACACAUUUCAUGUGAGGGUUCUCAGUGUUGACAGGCUAGUGAUACAGUAGUUGAACUACUUAUAGGACCACGCUGCCACCAUAAGUCGAUCAGUACGAAAUAUUUUAUUGAAAUGUGUUAGAUUUUUGUUAUCAAUCUAUUUUUUAAUUUUAAUUGUACUAUUUUAUUUAUUUUGUUUAAUAUAACAAGGAUGUGGAGUCCGAACAGGGUGAAAUUUGGGUCAAAGAGAGGCAAUUUAUUAUACCCCUGUUUAACUCCACAUACUUGAAAUUCCCUCAAUGUUAGGAUUUUCAUCUACUUGGAUAUUCAUGUUUGUACAUUUUUUUUUAAUAUCAGAUGUAUACUAGCUAAUAUUGACUAUUAUUUAGUGCUCUGUAAUAAAAAAAAAUAAAUGUAAGCAGAGCUCUAGAUAAUAAGUAUGCAGGGUGGGAGAAAUCUUGGGUUAUUAACAAUUGAUUUGCUGAAAUUUUCAAGAAAGGGGAUUUAUUGGAAAUGCAUCUUAUAUAUUUAAUGUAUAAAACUAUAUUUAAAAAAAAAGAUGUUAAGAUGAUGAGGAGAGCCACCUUGUCAGCCGGGAGAGCAGCUCUAAGGGAGAUGGUCAAUUCAAUCUUCACCAAGUCUGAGGCUUUACCAUGAAAAAUAUGUGGUUGUUAUAAUGAUGUUUUUAUGGUGUUGGGAGUAAGACUUGGAUGUCUGAUUUUGUUAACAUGUUGGUUAGCAUCAGGUUUCCAUUGGGUUACUUGCUGGGAUAAAGCUGUUAUAAGUCGAAAGAGUUGCUGUUGCUGCCUAAGAAUUUCCUUGUAUGGUAAAAUCCUCAGACUACAAUCCUGCAAACCAUUGGAUGAACUGUUGCUAUCUUUUGUAAAAAAAUCAGCAGAUAUUUGUCUUAUAAGCAGAAUGAAUUAUAAAUGCAAUUAAUUUUUAAUGCUUUGUUAUUCAAAUUAUAAAUAUUUAUUUCAUUAUUUUUUCUUGCAUUCAAUUAUUGUUUUGUGAUUGAAGAAAUAUAAAAAAAAAACUGUGAAAUUAUUAUUUGAGAGGUCCCAAAGGUAUGAUGUAUGGUUUCACAAGAUACCCAUAAGACUUGCUUCAGUUUACAUAUAUUUUUUAAGUUAUGUACACUGGUUAAGAAUUAUAAGUCCUUUGUGAAAUGAUUUUUUCUGGUUAGAAACCUAUUAAGUAGGACUUUGAUGGCCAAACACUAAAAGGGAAUAAAACAAAUCC